CCUUCGGGGUGGAUCAGUGGCGAACGGGUGAGUAACACGUGGGGAAUCUGCCCUGAACUCUGGGACAAGCCUUGGAAACGAGGUCUAAUACCGGAUACGACCUUCUCCUGCAUGGGGGUUGGUGGAAAGCUCCGGCGGUUCAGGAUGAUCCCGCGGCCUAUCAGCUUGUUGGUGGGGUAAUGGCCUACCAAGGCGACGACGGGUAGCCGGCCUGAGAGGGCGACCGGCCACACUGGGACUGAGACACGGCCCAGACUCCUACGGGAGGCAGCAGUGGGGAAUAUUGCACAAUGGGCGGAAGCCUGAUGCAGCGACGCCGCGUGAGGGAUGACGGCCUUCGGGUUGUAAACCUCUUUCAGCAGGGAAGAAGCGCAAGUGACGGUACCUGCAGAAGAAGCACCGGCUAACUACGUGCCAGCAGCCGCGGUAAUACGUAGGGUGCGAGCGUUGUCCGGAAUUAUUGGGCGUAAAGAGCUCGUAGGCGGCCUGUCGCGUCGGAUGUGAAAGCCCGGGGCUUAACCCCGGGUCUGCAUACGAUACGGGCAGGCUGGAGUGUGGUAGGGGAGAUCGGAAUUCCUGGUGUAGCGGUGAAAUGCGCAGAUAUCAGGAGG
rnacentral:rRNA from 1 species